GGCCCUUUAACUCAGUGGUAGAGUAACGCCAUGUAAGGCGUAAGUCAUCGUUCAAAUCCGAUAAGGGCUU
rnacentral:tRNA from 1 species